GGCCGGUUAGCUCAGUUGGUUAGAGCUCCUUCGUGCUAAUAACGCGAAGGUCGUGGGUUCGAUACCCGUACUGGCCA